rnacentral:rRNA from 1 species
GAUGAACGCUAGCUACAGGCUUAACACAUGCAAGUCGAGGGGUAACGAGAGGAAAGCCGGCUUUCCUUGUCGACGACCGGCGCACGGGUGAGUAACGCGUAUCCAACCUGCCCCCAACUAGGGAAUAACCUUGCGAAAGUAAGACUAAUACCCUAUAAUUUCCUCAGAUGUCAUCUGACGAGGAAUAAAGAUUUAUCGGUUGUGGAUGGGGAUGCGUCUGAUUAGCUUGAUGGCGGGGUAACGGCCCACCAAGGCAACGAUCAGUAGGGGUUCUGAGAGGAAGGUCCCCCACACUGGAACUGAGACACGGUCCAGACUCCUACGGGAGGCAGCAGUGGGGAAUAUUGCACAAUGGGCGCAAGCCUGAUGCAGCCAUGCCGCGUGUAUGAAGAAGGCCUUCGGGUUGUAAAGUACUUUCAGCGGGGAGGAAGGCGGUGAAGUUAAUAGCUUCACCGAUUGACGUUACCCGCAGAAGAAGCACCGGCUAACUCCGUGCCAGCAGCCGCCGUAG